rfam:Lottia gigantea unplaced genomic scaffold LOTGIsca_71, whole genome shotgun sequence.
GUUACGGUUCUCUUUGGAACCAUAUAAUAUAAUAAUAUAAUAAACUU